GUGUCAGCAGCCGCGGUAAGACAGAGAUGCCAAGCGUUGUUCGGAAUCACUGGGCAUAAAGGGCGCGUAGGCGGCUAUGUAAGUCAGGGGUGAAAGCCCCCGGCUCAACCGGGGAAUUGCCUUUGAUACUGCGUGGCUUGAGGUCGGAAGGGGAAAGUGGAAUUCCUGGUGUAGCGGUGAAAUGCGUUGAUAUCAGGAGGAACGCCGGCGGCGAAAGCGACUUUCUGGUCCGACUCUGACGCUGAUGCGCGAAAGCUAGGGGAGCAAACGGGAUUAGAUACCCCGGUAGUCCUAGCCGUAAACGAUGAGCACUUAGCAGGGGCGGUUCCUAUUACUGUCCUUGCUGCAGCAAAUGUGUUAAGUGCUCCGCCUGGGGAGUACGGCCGCAAGGUUAAA
rnacentral:rRNA from 1 species